ACGCUCCACAGUCGCGUCCAGGGCCAAAGUAAGGGCCACGUGCAACGUAAGCGUUCUUGGAUGCACCAAACACUGGACAGGAUACUUGUACUCUGACGUGGAUUCAUUACUACAAAUCUGGAGUGUUUGUUUUAUUCGCAGGGGACCGGAUGGGUUUCUUGCAGGGGACAUCUGAGCACGAUGAGUGCUCUGCAAAUACAGCCCCCCGAGGGCGUGGCGGGCUGUUUUUAGUGCCUCAUUGCAAAAACCCAUUACGUUUUCUUUCACCUAAUCAUUUCAUCGGAAUCACCAGCCCAAUUCGGGGGCUUUGGGGGCGAAUGGAACAGAACCAAAGUCUUAACAAUUAGUUACAGACUUCCCGGAGGGGAGAGUGGUGCUCCGAGCCCACACGACGACGGGGACGACCCUCGCCCCAGUGGGCUGGGGCUGCUGGGGCCGCUGGAGCCGCGCGCUUUCCCCAGCCCCAUCUCUGCGUCUCAUGCUCCGGGGGAACUAAGAACUAGCCCGCGCCCUUCGAGGGCCAGGCGGGGAGACUCUCUCUCAUCUUUUCUCCCGAGUUCCGAGGACCUGUGAGGUCUUUUUCCUCCUCCCCCCGCCCGCCCCUCCGUGCCCCGAGUCGGCUCCCACAAUCCAGCAAAAGCCUUGCUCAGCGCGGCCCCCAGCAGGCGCCACAAGUCGGAGCUCGCGCGCCCCCCACCGCGUGCCCCCUGUCGGGACCCUCGGCGGCACACGCACCCCGCUGUGGCCACGCCCCGGCCUCGUGCACGCCCCAGCGGGCCCCACCCACCACACGCACCGCCGCGGGGGGCAGCGGGAAUACCGGUAACUGGCGCCUAAACGUGAGCGCGUGGGCGUUAAACCUGAGGCAGCGCCGCUAUAGCCCCGAGCCGCACCACAAAGAGGACCGGACCGGGGGAUUGCCGCGGGCAGUAGCGCAUUUUGCCGAGGCUCAUCGACAGCCUUUUCGACAUGGAUCCCCCACCAGGGCGCAGCCACGAAGACGCUGGUUACCUGAGCUUGGGAGUCGUUGAGCUCCAGGACGAACCGCAUGGUCGGUGCCCGGACCGGGACGGGUGCUCUGGCGAAACGUCUUUUCCCUGGGAGAGGCGAGUGGGCCCGAUGCCGCUGCCGCGCGGCCACCAUCCCCACUCUUAGGUCCCGGGCUCGCGCCUCCAUCUGCCCCGCGUACCCUAGGCUCCAACGCCCCGAUCUCUCUCUUUUUCUUUUCCAGAUGUGAAGCCUACGGCGACCUCAGUAGCUGAAGCAAGAAAAGCCGUCGAGGAGGAUCCACGGUCGGAACUCGAGCAGGGAGCAGCAGCAGCAGCUGCAGGAGAACAAGUCCACGUUGGCGCAGGGGCUCUCGACCCGGUGGACGACGAGACCCAGAAGGUGGGCGGCGGCGAGGAGACCCCGCCGCAGCAGCAGGAGGAGGCGUCCGAAGCUGCCAGCGAGGAUCCGAAGCCCCAGGACCCGCAGCCACGCCUGCACCGCAGCACUUUCACUCGGCUGCAGCUGACCGAGCUGGAGAGCGUUUUCCGACGCACCCAGUACCCUGACGUGUUUGCACGGUAAGCGGCUUCCUCUGGAGGCCCCCCAUUUUCUAGGACGCUGGGGCUCCUUCCCGGACUCCUCUGGCUCUUUCUCAGGUCUCUUCCCUCCGCCCCAGAGCCAGUCCUACUUGGGGGGCUCGAGGCCCCUGGAGUCGGCCCGCCCUUGAGCUCCGAGGCGAGGGCGAUGCGGUGUAUAAGUGAUUUAAAUCAGGAAACUUUGGCCGCCCUCUUUGUUCUGUGAAUAACGUUCUAUUGGAUUGGGAUUUAGAUCAGAGUGAGGAGAGUGAGGCACUGUUGUGCGAGUGCGGGAUUGAAUCUUGCCUUUAUUUAAAAUUUUUGAUAAUUUGGUCGCCGUGGAAUUGUUUGUGUAUUUAGUCUUGAUUUUAAAAUACUUAAUUAAAAAUCCUUAAUCUUGAAUACUCAGUUCUUCAGUGCUCGCAUAAAUUUUGCAGAAAAUUCUUCCUGGAGUUCCCGUGUGGCUCAGCGGUAACGAACCCGACUAGUAUCCAUGAGGACGUGGGUUUGAUCCCUGGCCCUGCUCAUGGGUGGGGGAUCCGGGGUUGCCUCGAGCUGUGGUGUAGGCCAGGACACCUGCAGCUCGGAUUUGACCCCUAGCCUGGGAACUUCCAUAUGCGGUGGGUGUGGCCCCAAAAAGGUGAGGGAGGGGAGAAAUGUCUCCCUAAAGAAAGCCUGGAACUGGGUAUUACAGAAAUAUGUGCCCAGGCACUGGGGAGAAUAUUAAUUUUUUUUUUUUUGGCCACUGCCUUUAGCUUGUACAAGUUCCCAGGCCCAAGGAUCGACUUGAGCCUCUGCAGUGGCAAAGCCAGAUCCUUAACCCACUGUGCCACAAGAGAUCUCCAAGAGAAUAUAAAUUUCAAAACAACUAUAAAGUGUACAUUGUAUAUCUAAUUUCAUCCACAACUCCAAAUACUGAAUAUUUGUGAUUUUCUUCCCUCAGGAAGGAGGUUGCAAUAUGCAUGGAUGUGACCCAAGCCAGAGUGCAGGUCAGUGAACCCGAAAAAAACAACGAGGCAGGACAGCCACAGUAAAACCGCUUCAGGACUUGGACGCUUUUGUUCUAGACAUUCUCAAGUUGUUGUUUUUGAUGUCUUUUCCAAGUUUGGGAAAUGAGUUUUGAACUUUGGCGGCUUUGUUGAGUGGAAAAUAGGGUAAUUAAAGCCCAGUUUAUGGAAACUGCCCAUUGCUAGAAGUAGCAUGAUUCUCCUGUUAUUCUCCAAACUACUUCUCCUAUUUUCUGUGUAACAUUAAAUAUAAUAAAGUUCACCUCCUUCUAACACUGGUGUCCUUUAGGGAGCACUUCUGUGUGGAGUCACAUUGGGGCUCAAUCUGAUCUGGGAAAUAUGCACAUUAACGCACUAAGGACCUAGGUUAUGAGAGGCUUUGACUGUGUUAAAUUUUUUAAAAUACCGAAAACCAUAAGUUCUUAGCUAAAAGCAAAUUUAUAAAUAUCCGGGCAUUAGAGUAAGGGAAUAAUUCCUGCACACUAUUUAGUUAGGCUGAGACUGACAUGGGGAGAUAGCUUAAAAGUCCAAGUGCCUGGUUCUCCUGCCGUUUGUUUGUUUGUUUGUUUCAGGUCUGCAGUAAAGCAGGGUAGAAAGUGUUAGCCCUCCAUUUUAAUUUUCUGGAAUGCUUUGAUUGUCAGCCUGAAAAUAUUUCUAAAAUGGAGACAUUAAUGGUGGAGGGUGGGAGGAAAGUUUGCGAACUGAAAACUUGUCUAAAAAUUGAAACAAACAAGAACAAUUUUGAAUAAAGUGCCACUGCUAAGAAGGUGAAAAGGUUAGAGACAAAUUGCAUACAAAUAUAUACCUGGCAGAUGUUGCACAAAUUGAACUCUAUGAGGGAAUGUUCUCUUGAGUUUCUAACAUCCAAAGAUAUUUUUUGAUGGUACUAUUUUGAAGAGGUAAGUUUUGUGGAAUUUGGUAGUGGUGGUGGAGCUUUCAAUUCAGGCCAGAUUCUUAACCUGUGUUAAUUUUAAAUGCUUUUUCAUUUGCUCAGGCAGUGAAGACUAAUUUGUAGGUCAAAAGAGUACCAUUUCAGACCGUAGAAAACCAUAAAGUGUAUUAAGAGAGUAUUUGUCAAAAACAAAAUUCACAGAUGUGAGUGCAGUGAUGGAAACGGACUGCAGAUCUGGUGGUGGUGAGUUUUAGUGAACUCGGUCCCAGUUUGGCUGGAUUUUCCUCAACUCUAUAGGCGGAAAUAUCAAGGCAGUGUCUGGGGCAUCAGCAACUCUUAUGUCCUGUUAAGACAAGCCACAAACCCCUGGGCCCACAAGCCAUCUUUUUAAGAGAUGAAUGACCCUUUGAAUAUCCUCGAGGGAAACCUUUUUAAAAAUCCAACCCAAGAGUUCCCGUUGUGGUGCAGCAGAAACGAAUCCAAGUAGGAACCACGAGGUUUCAGGUUCAAUCCCUAGACUCGCUCAGAGGGUUAAGGAUCUGGCAUUGCCGUGAGCUGUGGUGUAGGUUGCAGACAAGUCUCAGAUCCUACAUUGCUAUGGUUGUGGUGUAUGCUGGCAGCUGUAGCUCUGAUUCAGCCCAUAGCCUGAGAACCUCUAUAUGCCAUGGGUGCAGCCCUAAAAAGCCAGAUAUGUGUGUGUGUGUUAUGUAUGUAUGUAUAUAUAUGUAUGUAUGUAUACACACACACACACACACAUAUAUAUGUGUGUGUAUAUAUAUUAUCUCCAGCCUGUUCCUAUUGAAUAUAUCCUUGAGACCAAAGGACUUUUACUUUGCUCAGCUUCUCCCACACCCAAGGUAACUUUCCCUAGAGGGUAGGGACCCAGGAAGCUGGACAGCUGAUGGUCUGCUGUCAAGACACAGACAUUUCUUCAUCCUGUUACCAGGCAUAGCAUUAACAACAGGGACUGGCUGCAAUUCAUCAGCUAGGCCUGGAAUCAGCCCCUGUCAUCAGCAACCAUUUUGUAGCCCCAUCACUAAAGCUUGGUCUGCAUGACAGUUUUUCCAGAGCAUUUUUCUGCCAUAUCCUUACUGUGCAUAGCACAGAACCAAGAGCACGUCACCAAAUGCCUGUUAAAUGAGCUGGAUAAGUGGAAAAAGUCAGUGCCCCCUUUUUGGGUGGAGUACAUUUUUGUACUUUUCAAUAAAGAGGUGAAUUCUGAGCUUGUUUGUUUUUGUGCAUCAAAUGAGGUUGAUUGUGAAUGGGUGGAAAUUUCUAAGGGAAUGUCAUUCAAACAGAAUGACGGUGUGCUUUCAUGAGGUGACAUCUCCUAGUCACUGCCAAUAGACUUGUGCACAUCACAGAUGUGUUCUGAGAACCCAAGGUAUGUUUACACAGACCUACGCUAUUCCUCCUCCGCCUUCCAUCACUCGGUGCUCAGCCUCACCCCUUGGGACCACAUACAUAUGCACGAUGGGCAGGAUGAGUCCUAGUGAGAGAACGGGGUGUUUCUAGGCAGGGCAGAGUCCCACCCAUGCUAGACUCUAAGGGAAGCAUCUUAAGAGGCUAUUCACAGGGAGCCAUGGGAACCUUGUGGCUGAACAUUCAUCCAGUAUGUUCCAAAUUCUGUUCCCUAUCCUCUCUAUGGGGAGGACAUUGUGGAAUAGGAGACUUCCUUCCUGGCCCACAGGUACUACUGCUUCAAAGGAGACACAAGAUGAGGCCCCACCAAGGCCAGCACCUUCCUCAAAAGCAAUCACACCUUCAAAUGUAUUUUGUCACUUUUAGCAUCGUUGAAAGAUCCUUGUUUCCUGCUGAUUCAACACUGAAAGGGAAUCCUUUGAUUUCGUGCUGCUCAAAGCAGUACUGCAGAAUAAUCACUCAUUAGGAAGAAGCAGUUGGGAGUGCCCGUCAUGGCACAGCGGAAAACAAUCCGAUUAGGAUCUAUGAGGUUGUGGGUUCGAUCCCUGGCCUCAUUCAGUGGGUUAAGGAUCCAGCAUUGCUGUGAGCUGUGGUGUAGGCUGGCAGCUACAGCUCUGAUUAGAUCCCUAGCCUAGGAACCUGCAUAUGCCUUGGGUGCGGCCCUAAAAAAAAAAAAAAA
rnacentral:lncRNA from 1 species